CUCAACCGUAAAAUUGCAAUUGAUACUGGCAGUCUUGAGUACAGUUGAGGUAGGCGGAAUUCGUGGUGUAGCGGUGAAAUGCUUAGAUAUCACGAAGAACUCCGAUUGCGAAGGCAGCUUACUAACCUGUAACUGACAUUGAUGCUCGAAAGUGUGGGUAUCAAACAGGAUUAGAUACCCUGGUAGUCCACACGGUAAACGAUGAAUACUCGCUGUAGGCGAUAUACAGUCUGCGGCCAAGCGAAAGCAUUAAGUAUUCCACCUGGGGAGUACGCCGGCAACGGUGAAACUCAAAGGAAUUGACGGGGGCCCGCACAAGCGGAGGAACAUGUGGUUUAAUUCGAUGAUACGCGAGGAACCUUACCCGGGCUUAAAUUGCAACCGAAUAUGGCGGAAACGCUAUAGCUAGCAAUAGCGGUUGUGAAGGUGCUGCAUGGUUGUCGUCAGCUCGUGCCGUGAGGUGUCGGCUUAAGUGCCAUAACGAGCGCAACCCUUGCCGAUAGUUACUAACAGGUCAUGCUGAGGACUCUGUCGGGACUGCCAUCGUAAGAUGUGAGGAAGGUGGGGAUGACGUCAAAUCAGCACGGCCCUUACGUCCGGGGCUACACACGUGUUACAAUGGGGGGUACAGAGGGCUGCUACCACGCAAGUGGAUGCCAAUCCCAAAAACCUCUCUCAGUUCGGAUUGAAGUCUGCAACCCGACUUCAUGAAGCUGGAUUCGCUAGUAAUCGCGCAUCAGCCACGGCGCGGUGAAUACGUUCCCGGGCCUUGUACACACCGCCCGUCAAGCCAUGGGAGCCGGGGGUACCUGAAGUGCGUAACCGCAAGGAGCGCCCUAGGGUAAAACUGGUGACUGG
rnacentral:rRNA from 1 species